rnacentral:lncRNA from 1 species
UGACUUGACGGAAGUUGAUUGGAUCAUCUUCCUCAAGUCCAAUGUCACUUUCUUGUUCUUUGAGAAAUACAACAUAAUCAUCCGGAAUUGCAUUUCUCCUCUCUAGUGGAUCUCCUUAAUGGCACUUCAGAUUCUUGAGGUCGUUGAGUUUGAUUUUCAUUAAUAAUAUCAGGAACUUGAUUAGGGAGAUUAUCAAGAUUGUCUU